AUUAAGAGUUUGAUCCUAGCUCAGGAUGAACGCUGGCGGCGUGGAUAAGGCAUGCAAGUCAAGCGAGCUGUGCAUAGCACAGAAAUUCCAAAAUCCAAAUCUCAAAUUCCAAACAAUGAUUAAAUUCCAAUUCUCAAAAAUUAAAUUUUGAUUAUUGAGAUUUGUUUGGAGCUUGAAUAUUGGAGCUUGGUGUUUCCGCGCUGUGCGCGGUUAGCGGCAGACGAGGUAGUAAUAAGCAGGUACGCACCCCCAAGUUGGGAAUAGCCAUUCGAAAGAGUGGGUAAUACCCAAUGGUCUGGUAAUCAAUCUUUGCUCGUGAUUUUUGUUUUGGAAAUUCCAAAUCACAAGUUCCAAAUCACAAAUAAUUUUUAAGUUUAAAUUUUAAUUGUUGAAAUUUGUUUGGAAAUUGGAGCUUGGAAAUUAUGAUUUUCGAGCAGAUUGCGAUUGAAGGUUGGUUACCAGUAAAAGAGAAAUCUGCUCGGGGAGCGGCCUGUUCAGUAUCAGCUAGUUGGUAGGGUAAUGGCCUACCAAGGCGAUGACGCUUAGGGGGGGUGAGAGCCUGUUCCCCACCGAUGGGACUGAGAACGGCCCAUACACCUACGGGUGGCUGCAGCCGAGAAUAUUCCACAAUGGGCGAAAGCCUGAUGGAGCGACGCCGCGUGGAGGACGAAGUGCUUCGGCAUGUAAACUCCUUUUGUGAACUAGAAAGUUUAUUGAUCGGUUCAAGAAUAAGAGGUUGCUAAACUCGUAAAAAUUAAAGUUUAGCAGCAAGAAAAGACUUGUACUCGUAAAAAUCCGUAGUGCGACUUCCUCGCGAAAGCGGGGUUGAAUAAUUCGGCUUAUAUGCGGGAAACCUUUAUAGAGCUGCGUUCCGAUGUUGUUUCGGGAUUCUAUAUUGACAAUCCGCAGGGAAGUCUCCGCCAACUGGUGGAUGACCCUUCAGAGACUGAUCUCUAGGGUUGGUAAACCCGACGAGUGAGAUGGAGAUGUAACAAUCUUCAUCAGACGCCGAACUCCAGCACUGAUUUUUGGGUUCAAAAUAAAAAAGGCCCCGUAACAUGUACGGGGCCAGGCAAUCGGAUAGAAUCUAAAAAUUAGUGCUGGAUGAUGAUAUAGUCCAUGAUAUAAUUAUUAAGUGAGACGAAGUGUACAAAAAAUCAUUAUUGGUUCUUUAUUGGGAGAUGGAUGGUUAAAUCCUAUGACACCAACUCAGAAGUCUUCUUAUCGUGUCAAAUACAGCGAUAGAUCCAUAGGAUAUCUAACAUGGAUACAUGAUCAAGUUGCAGAAUUGAAGCCAUCUGAAUUGAAGAGUAUCCCAAAAUACUCGCAACAUCUCUUUUAUACAGAAUCAAGGACUGAUUUAGGUGAAUUUCGAAAACUUUUCUAUCCUAAUGAGGGGGAAAAGAGGGUCCCACAAAACAUAAAAUCAUUGCUUAAAGAUCCUUUAUCUUUAGCGGUGUGGUUUAUGGAUGAUGGUACUCUUGAUUUUCGAGAUAAAUACCACCGAAAUGCUCUAUUUGCGACACAUUGUUUUUCAUUUAAUGAUUGCAAUCUCUUAAGUGAUAUGUUGCGAGAAAACUUUGGAUUAAAAGUUUCUGUCUGCAAGUGUCAGAUGCGUGGGAAAAUGUAUUAUAGGUUAUAUGUUUAUUCGGAGAGUAUGAAACUUUUCGAAGAUAUUAUUAAACCUUUUAUGCAUAAAGAUUACGCAUAUAAAAUUAGAAAUUGUCAAGGCCAGCAGCAGCGGUAAUACGAGUGCCUCGAGCGUUAUCCGGAAUUAUUGGGCGUAAAGGGUGUGUAGGCGGCUUUGGCCCGAUGUAAGAGUCGGGCUCCCGAUACCGUAAGGUCGUCGGGAUUAGUCCUUGGUCAAAUUCUUCGGCUUAACCGGGGGUCCGCCAAGGAAACGGCAAAGCUUGAGGGUGCGAGAGGUGAAUGGAACUCAUGGUGUAGGGGUGAAAUCCGUUGAUAUCAUGGGGAACACCAAAAGCGAA
rnacentral:rRNA from 1 species